GGAGAGGUGUCCGAGUGGCCGAUGGAGCAUGACUCGAAAUCAUGUUAGCGCGUGAGCGCUACCAGGGUUCAAAUCCCUGCCUCUCCGCCA
rnacentral:tRNA from 1 species